rnacentral:misc_RNA from 1 species
GAAAUGCGAUAAGUAAUGUGAAUUGCAGAAUUCAGUGAAUCAUCGAAUCUUUGAACGCACCUUGCGCUCCUUGGUAUUCCUUGGAGCAUGCCUGUUUGAGUAUCAUGAAAUCUUCAAAGUAAAUCUUUUGUUAACUCAAUUGGUUUCUACUUUGGUAUUGGAGGUCUUUGCAGCUUCACACCUGCUCCUCUUUGUCCAUUAGCUGGAUCUCAGUGUUAUGCUUGGUUCCACUCGGCGUGAUAAGUUAUCUAUCGCUGAGGACACUGUAAAAGGUGGCCAAGGUAAAUGCAGAUGAACCGCUUCUAAUAGUCCAUUGACUUGGACAAUACUUUUAUGAUCUGAUCUCAAAUCAGGUAGGACUACCCGCUGAACUUAAGC